rnacentral:rRNA from 1 species
GAUGAACGCUGGCGGCGUGCUUAACACAUGCAAGUCGAACGAUGAAGCCCAGCUUGCUGGGGGGAUUAGUGGCGAACGGGUGAGUAACACGUGAGUAACCUGCCCUUAACUCUGGGAUAAGCCUGGGGAACUGGGGCUAAUACCGGAUAGGAGCGUCCACCGCAUGGGGGGUGUUGGAAAGAUUUAUCGGUUUUGGAUGGACUCGCGGCCUAUCAGCUUGUUGGUGAGGUAAUGGCUCACCAAGGCGACGACGGGUAGCCGGCCUGAGAGGGUGACCGGCCACACUGGGACUGAGACACGGCCCAGACUCCUACGGGAGGCAGCAGUGGGGAAUAUUGCACAAUGGGCGGAAGCCUGAUGCAGCGACGCCGCGUGAGGGAUGACGGCCUUCGGGUUGUAAACCUCUUUCAGUAGGGAAGAAGCGAGAGUGACGGUACCUGCAGAAGAAGCACCGGCUAACUACGUG